AUUGAACGCUGGCUGCAUGCCUUACACAUGCAAGUCGAACGGUAACGGGCCUUCGGGUGCCGACGAGUGGCGAACGGGUGAGUAAUACAUCGGAACGUGCCCGAUCGUGGGGGAUAACGAGGCGAAAGCUUUGCUAAUACCGCAUACGAUCUACGGAUGAAAGCAGGGGACCGCAAGGCCUUGCGCGGACGGAGCGGCCGAUGGCAGAUUAGGUAGUUGGUGGGAUAAAAGCUUACCAAGCCGACGAUCUGUAGCUGGUCUGAGAGGAUGAUCAGCCACACUGGGACUGAGACACGGCCCAGACUCCUACGGGAGGCAGCGGUGGGGAAUUUUGGACAAUGGGCGCAAGCCUGAUCCAGCCAUGCCGCGUGCAGGAUGAAGGCCUUCGGGUUGUAAACUGCUUUUGUACGGAACGAAAAGCCUUCUUUUAAUACAGGAGGGUCAUGACGGUACCGGAAGAAUAAGCACCGGCUAACUACGUG
rnacentral:rRNA from 1 species